rnacentral:misc_RNA from 1 species
GAUGAAGAACGUAGCGAAAUGCGAUAAGUAAUGUGAAUUGCAGAAUUCAGUGAAUCAUCGAAUCUUUGAACGCACAUUGCGCCCGCCAGUAUUCUGGCGGGCAUGCCUGUUCGAGCGUCAUUUCAACCCUCAGGACCCUUUGGACCUGGUGUUGGGGCUCGGCCGCUACCCCGCGGCCGUCCCCGAAAGAUAGUGGCGGUCUUGCUGUAGCGUCCUCUGCGUAGUAAUUACACCUCGCACUGGAACGCGGCGCGGCCACGCCGUUAAACACCCCACUUCUCAAGGUUGACCUCGGAUCAGGUAGGAAUACCCGCUGAACUUAAGCAUAUCAAUAAGCGGAGGA